CWRSGCWGCUUACACAUGCAGUCGACGGAAUCUUCGGAUUUAGUGGCGGACGGGUGAGUAACGCGUGAGAAUCUAGCUCUAGGUCGGGGACAACCACUGGAAACGGUGGCUAAUACCGGAUGUGCCGAAAGGUGAAAGAUUUAUUGCCUAGAGAUGAGCUCGCGUCUGAUUAGCUAGUUGGUGUGGUAAGAGCGCACCAAGGCGACGAUCAGUAGCUGGUCUGAGAGGAUGAUCAGCCACACUGGGACUGAGACACGGCCCAGACUCCUACGGGAGGCAGCAGUGGGGAAUUUUCCGCAAUGGGCGAAAGCCUGACGGAGCAAUACCGCGUGAGGGAGGAAGGCUCUUGGGUUGUAAACCUCUUUUCUCAGGGAAUAAGAAAGUGAAGGUACCUGAGGAAUAAGCAUCGGCUAACUCCGUGCCAGCAGCCGCGGUAAUACGGAGGAUGCAAGCGUUAUCCGGAAUGAUUGGGCGUAAAGCGUCCGCAGGUGGCACUGUAAGUCUGCUGUUAAAGAGCAAGGCUCAACCUUGUAAAGGCAGUGGAAACUACAGAGCUAGAGUACGUUCGGGGCAGAGGGAAUUCCUGGUGUAGCGGUGAAAUGCGUAGAAUA
rnacentral:rRNA from 1 species